CCGACCUUAGCUCAGUUGGUAGAGCGGAGGACUGUAGUGGGAAUAUCCAAUCUGUAAUCCUUAGGUCGCUGGUUCGAAUCCGGCAGGGCGGA
rfam:Cucumis sativus cultivar 9930 chromosome 2, whole genome shotgun sequence.